rnacentral:siRNA from 1 species
GAUAGUAUGGGUGAUGAGUAUC